UCAGGGAAUAGUUUAUGUAGAAUUUCAGCUUUGGGUGUUGAUGGUGAAGCGUAAUGCUUCUUCCCUGAA
rnacentral:tRNA from 1 species